rnacentral:tRNA from 12 species
GCUGCUGUAGCUCAGUGGUAGAGCACUCCCUUGGUAAGGGAGAGGCCGCGAGUUCAAUCCUCGCCAGCAGCACCA